GGGGUUGUGGCUCAGUGGUAGAGGUCUCGCCUAGCACGUGUGAGGCCCUGGGUUCGAUUGAUUCUCAGCACCACA
rnacentral:tRNA from 1 species